CUUGUUUCCUAUACUUUUCUAAAAUUUUUGGCACAUAUUGUGAAUAACUUCCCAAUGGUCUUGUGUCGCGAACCGGCAACGCAGAGCACUGUCCCGCAGUGCCUCAAACCUGAAAGAGCAGCAGGGUGGAGAUGGGGCAGAGAGAAAGGAAGGACGCCAAGACAAGAGUCUGAUCAAGGCGACGUUUAGUGCCGGCAAGCACCGGCCUUUUAAAGGGAAAGGCCGAACUAUUAUGGGCUAGGAUUACCAUAGUAACCUCAACACCCGCUCCACGGGAACGAGGGUUCACACGGGCAAGAGAAAGCAGGCUCAAGAAAAACAAAUUAACAACACUUGCAACUAAUAAUCAUGAUUCCCACAAUAGGUGGAGGAACCUAACAAAAUGGAGUGAUUUUCUGUCAGCCAACACAUGCUACUGUAACAAAAUGCCCAAGACUGAGGAAUUAUAAGAAGAUUAAUUUAUAUUUUCAGGGAUCUAGAAGCUGGUAAGUUCACAUCAAGCCUUCUGCAGAUAAUCUUGUAUUGCU
rnacentral:lncRNA from 1 species